rnacentral:lncRNA from 10 species
AGCGAAGGGCACGCCCCGCGCGGGUGCCAGGGAGGCCGGCAGGGGCGUCCGCGGUCGCUGCUCACCUGCGCUCCCCGCUGCCCGGCCCAGCCCGCCUCGCCACCGAGUCUGGAAGCCCACACUCACCCCUUUACCCGGGAAACGCGGCCGGAGCCGGCGGCGGGUCGGGAGUCCGAGAUGGUAGAUCCCCCUCCAGGCGCCUCGCUGACAUUUUGUCCCGGACGGAAAACCUCCGCGCGUGCCCCUUAAAGACACAGCGCUGCAUUCACACGUCUGCGGGGAAAGGGGGGCCGUCACGUGUGGCCUUCGCCCGAAAGCGGUAGGGGAGUCGCUCUGAAACCGCCAAGGAUCGCGAGCGACAGAUUUGUGUUGGCCAGGGUUUUAAGAUGACGCAAUAGCUGAGUGUGGUUGAAAUGCUGUAGGCGCAUGAUGUCACAAGUUAUUGGAAGAAAUCCCUCCAACCUAGGUUGGGACAGAUGAAGGCGGCGCUUAUUGGUGUUCACCAAAACACCAGCAUGGUGUACCAGCUUUGGCUAGAUGAUGCUCAGGAAAACACAGAUCCUGGUGCCGAACAUGAGGACAGGGCAGGCCGAAGGAGAAAGUGGAAGGAGGGGAGCUUCUCUCUCAGCCUCAUCCUUCUGGGCCUGGAUGCUGGAGAGUCAUGAGGUGCUUCAGAGUACUCUGGGUGAGGAGGGAAAGAUGGUGCCCACCACAUGGAGGCCAGCCUAGGUCUUGUAUGAAACCUGUGAGCUAGCUGAAAGCAGAGAACCCAGCAGAGGAUUCUGGGAAGGUCCUGGGGGAUGGCAGAGCCAGCAGAGAGAGGGUAUGGAUCCACCAGGCAUAGGAUGGAACAGAGCACUAUUGACCACAGUGAACUGGGGCAUGGGCAAUCAAUA